CUACUUAGGGUGCGAGCGUUAAUCGGAAUUACAGGGCGUAAAGCGAGUGUAGGCGGCUAUAUAAGUCGGAUGUGAAAGCCCCGGGCUCAACCUGGGAAUUGCAUUCGAAACUGUAUAGCUAGAGUUUGGUAGAGGUAAGUGGAAUUCAGGGUGUAGCGGUGAAAUGCGUAGAUAUCCUGAGGAACAUCAGUGGCGAAGGCGGCUUACUGGACCAAAACUGACGCUGAGGCUCGAAAGCGUGGGGAGCAAACAGGAUUAGAAACCCCAGUAGUCC
rnacentral:rRNA from 1 species